rnacentral:rRNA from 1 species
AGAGUUUGAUCAUGGCUCAGAUUGAACGCUGGCGGAAUGCUUUACACAUGCAAGUCGAGCGGCAGCGCGGGGGCAACCCUGGCGGCGAGCGGCGAACGGGUGAGUAAUACAUCGGAACGUGUCCUUAAGUGGGGGAUAGCUCGGCGAAAGCCGGAUUAAUACCGCAUAAGCUCUGAGGAGGAAAGCGGGGGAUUCCGCGAGGGACCUCGCGCUGUUGGAGCGGCCGACGUCGGAUUAGCUAGUUGGUGGGGUAAAGGCCCACCAAGGCGACGAUCCGUAGCUGGUCUGAGAGGAUGAUCAGCCACACUGGAACUGAGACACGGUCCAGACUCCUACGGGAGGCAGCAGUGGGGAAUUUUGGACAAUGGGGGCAACCCUGAUCCAGCCAUUCCGCGUGAGUGAAGAAGGCCUUCGGGUUGUAAAGCUCUUUCGGACGGAACGAAACGGUUAGCGUGAAUAACGCUGACUAAUGACGGUACCGUAAGAAGAAG